UACGUAGGGCGCAAGCGUUGUCCGGAAUUAUUGGGCGUAAAGAGCUCGUAGGCGGCCUGUUGCGUCCGCUGUGAAAUCCCGGGGCUUAACCCCGGGCUUGCAGUGGAUACGGGCAGGCUGGAGGCAGGCAGGGGAGAACGGAAUUCCCGGUGUAGCGGUGAAAUGCGCAGAUAUCGGGAGGAACACCGGUGGCGAAGGCGGUUCUCUGGGCCUGUACUGACGCUGAGGCACGAAAGCCAGGGGAGCAAACGGG
rnacentral:rRNA from 1 species